ACAGCUGUAAAUCUCCAAGGCCUCUCUGUGGAUUUACCUCUUCAGGGUCAAGGUGGCACCAGCACCCAACAAAGAACACUUAAACCUGUGAACCAGUUGGAGACUUUCAUCUGUUGUUCAGAAUUCAGCAGUUUCACCUUCGAAUAAUGCUGCAAAUGGAAUAUCAGUCUCUCCCCAGUGAUGCUCACUAACUGAACAAAUCUCCCUUGGAUUCAGCUGGACACCAGUUUCACCUUGACAUGCUCCCCAUCUCUGAUGAGUCGCUUCCUCCAGCAAGAUCCAAUAUCCUAAGUCCCACAGUCCAGGACAAUGACCCACAGGAUCUCCCGACAGACCAACAGCCAUAGUUAGGGUCAACUCUACACCCAAGGCCAGCAGGAAGUAGUUGGAGGAUAAGACCACUGCCCUAGUGCCAAAGACUUGUCAUUGUUGUUCUGUCAGAGGGGAAAAGGGGAGUCUGAGGAAGGAUUCCCAGGUGGGGGAGGGUCCCCUGUGGGGAGAAACAAUAAACAGUUAUUCUGAGAGAUGGCUAAUCACAAACAACCCAUGGUCACAGUGACCUUGUUCCACACAUAGCCCCCUCCAGCAUGACCCUAUAAAUCUUCCCUCCAGUCCCUCAUCUCUUGGCAGAUAGCCCCUUCUCUAUUGUACUGUCUGUUGUAACCUUGCAAUGUAUUUCAUACUUUCUCUAGUAAAUCUGCCUUGCUUUACAUACAACUCUCUUGGCAAAUUCCCUUACCACCUGCGACACCAGCCCCAGAUGAGAAUCCUGUGGCUCGGAGAGGCGAUACAACUUGCCUGAAAGCACAAAGCUAUGAAGCAAAGGCAUUCUGAUUAUAGAGUCACGCUAUUGUACAUUAUAUGGCCUCCAAAUUGAGCACCCUGCUAGGAUUCAAAAUAUGAGUGGGAGAUGCAGACAUCUUCUUGUGAUUUAAGCACCUUAUCUUUCAUUUAGAGGCACACAUGAUUAGACUCUGUGGUGUAAAUUAAUUCAAACAAAUUGGAGGAACUGAUGUUACAAACGUAAACAAGGUUCUCAUUAAAAUCUCCCUCAUUAAUUGUUUUUAUGGUGGCUGUUUGGUUUUUGUAGCCCUUACACAUGUUCUUGCAUUUAUAUUUCAGGUUCAGAUGAAGCUCAGACUGAAGCUGUAAUAAUGCUCUUGCCUACUAGGAAACAGCAGUUGGUAAUGCAUUCCUGGAUGUUCUUUUGAUAGUUCUUUCAUGGAGGAUAAACAUGUUACCUGGAGCAAGGAUUUGCAUCUCAAGAUUUCUACCACUGAGGGGAGCAUUGAGGGUAGAUGGAGCUCAGUUCAAAGAUAGCUGUAAAAUAUUAGCAUAUAACUAAUUUUAAGAAGCUAAAAUUUCUUUAUUACAGUGUAUUUGCU
rnacentral:lncRNA from 10 species